rnacentral:rRNA from 1 species
UACGAAGGGGGCUAGCGUUGUUCGGAAUUACUGGGCGUAAAGCGCGCGCAGGCGGUUUUCCAAGUCAGUGGUGAAAGCCCGGAGCUCAACUCCGGAAUUGCCAUUGAAACUGUUAAACUUGAGUACGAGAGAGGUGAGUGGAAUUCCCAGUGUAGAGGUGAAAUUCGUAGAUAUUGGGAAGAACACCGGUGGCGAAGGCGGCUCACUAAACUGUAACUGACGCUGAGGCACGAAAGCGUGGGGAUCAAACAGG